GGAUGAAGAACGCAGCGAAAUGCGAUAAGUAAUGUGAAUUGCAGAAUUCAGUGAAUCAUCGAAUCUUUGAACGCAUCUUGCGCUCCUUGGUAUUCCUUGGAGCAUGCCUGUUUGAGUAUCAUGAGCAAAUCUCAAAGUCAAUUCCUUUUGUUAAUUCAAUUUGGUUUUGCUUUGGACUUGGAGGUCUUGCAGAUUUCACAGUCUGCUCCUCUUAAAUGCAUUAGCUGGAUCUCAGUAAUUACGCUUGGUUCCACUCGGCGUGAUAAGUAUCACUCGCUGAGGACACUGUCAAAAAGGUGGCCAGGAAAAUACUGAUUGAACCGCUUCUAACGGUCUAUUAAGUUAGACAAUUACCCUUAAGUUUGAUCUCAAAUCAGGUAGGACUACCCGCUGAACUUAAGCAUAUCAAUAAGCGGAGGA
rnacentral:misc_RNA from 1 species